CUCAUCUCAAAGACAAUUACUAGCCUGUGGUCUCCGCAUUAACAGCAACAAGACAAGGCUCUGGACAGCUAAGCAGCAGAUUUGCUGAGAAGUGCUCAGGAAAUUAGCGUGAAAAAUUAUCCAUGACUGCAUGUGCUGUUCUGUGCUAACUACAAAGUGUUCUUCACAUCAGUUUUGGGAGAAGUUUUAGAGCUAAUCAACUUUGUUGUCUAAGACCUCCACAGUGCUACCACCAAGUCAGAGCUUGUGAGCAACAAACUGCUGAGCUGCUUGCUUAUGACAUUCUAGGUCUCUUUUCUUUCCUUCUGCAGAGUGAGUAGAACAAAAUUUAACAUAAUUUGCAUCUUUUUUUUCCUGCAUUUGUUGGAACUAGUUGAUCUUUAAUGUCCCUUGCAACCCAAGACAUUCUGUGAUUUUCUAUAUUCACUCAUGACUCCAUAUUAAUUGCUCAGUUAGUAACUCAUUUUAUUUCUUCUUGAGCUUUAUAACAGCCCUAUACAGCCAUUUGAAAAAUUCAGUGGAAUAGACUUUCACAAACAGCUUCUGUCCUUUUCCUUUUUUCCUUCUUUUCCAUCCUCUUCUUCCCAGAACAUAAUUGUUCAUAUACUGAAUUGAGCUGAAAAGAUAAUUAAGGACACUCUCAUUCAACUGAAAUGUCACUAUUUUCUGAUAAUAUAUGACUUCAGUUUAAUAUAAUCACAGCAUUUAAACCAAUUGGGUUUUUUUCUUUAUUCUGUAUGGUAUUUUGAAUAUUAUACAAGUUUUUAAUAUAUGUAUUAGAAUUUAUGAUGUAGAAAUAUGAACACCUGACAAGAAUACUCUAUUAGGACAGACUC
rnacentral:lncRNA from 1 species